UGGCUCAGUUGGUAGAGCAUGGUGUGUACAACGCCAAGGGUUGUGGGUUCGAUUCCCAC
rfam:Salmo salar isolate Sally breed double haploid chromosome ssa25, whole genome shotgun sequence.